rnacentral:lncRNA from 1 species
CUCUAAGGACAGGGCUGGGGUGAAUCACUCUAAGGAAAGGGCUGGGAGUGAAUCACUCAAAGGACAGGGCUAGGGGUGAAUCACUCUAAGGACAGGGCUGUGGUGAAUCACUCUAAGGACAGGACUGGGGUGAAUCACUCUAAGGACAGGGCUGGGGUGAAUCACUCUAAGGACAGGGCUGGGGUGAAUCACCGUAAGGACAGGGCUGGGGGUGAAUCACUAAGGACAGGGCUGGGAGUGAAUCACUCUAAGGACAGGGCUGGGGUGAAUCACUCUAAGGACAGGGCUGGGGUGAAUCACUCUAAGGACAGGGCUGGGAGUGAAUCACUCUAAGGACAGGGCUGGGGGUUAUCACUCUAAGGACAGGGCUGGGGGUGAAUCACUCUAAGGACAGGGCUGGGGG